rnacentral:lncRNA from 10 species
GACGUCCCCCCCACAUGCUCUCUUGCCUGCCGCCACAUAAGACAUGACUUUGCUCCUCAUUCAGCUUCCGCCAUGAUUCUGAGGCCUCCCCAGCGACGUGAAACUCUUCAAUAAAUAUAGACUGCCGUAUCUCUAUGCAUCAGACAUGUCCAUCCUUUGGUUGAGCGAGACACAGGGUGAUACGCACUCGCAGGUGCAUACAUGUCCUAUCCUGGUCUGUGAUUUUUCUGUCCAAGAUGGUGGCUGUUGUACCCUUGAUUUUCUGAAGUCACCAGCACACAGCCUCAGUGCCAGUGGUCAUCAGCCGUGUUAUCAGCUUUCAGAAUUGGAGAGAUGGGGACCCAGUUUCAUUCUUCCACGUGUUUGCUGUCACUUCUGAUAUGCAUACAGCAAUUUGAAUUGACACUGUACAUUAACCAGUAAGAUGAGCUCUGAUUUUGCUCUGACAGCCUGGGGAUGAGGAGCAAGUUGACAAAAUGCUGCAACUUCUGAGGAGGAAAAAUAAAUCUUACCUAGGAAAGCCUUAGCUUCCCUUAAAUAAGGCGGAAGAAUUGAGAGUGAUCCACAACACUGGUUGUGGUAUGGUGGUCAUUGCAUGGCAUUAAUUAUCAUAGGUAGAUGAGUUAUUUUAUUUGUUGAGUUUAUUUGUGUAGUCUAGUUUAAAUGAGCGAAAAUGCUCAAUGUGUCAUUUUACUCUGAGCUAUACCAGUUCUUUCUUUAACUGGACCUUUGAGGAUUACAUCUGCUCUCCUAUUAAGUUGGUGCAAAAGUAAUUGCAGUUUUGCAGUUAUUUUUACACCAACCUAAUAUCUACUCUCCAAUCCCAAGUGCCACCGCAGGGGUGUGCUGUGUAUAUCCUCACUGGGAUGAGUGAGACCCCGGAGCAGCAUCUUACAAGGAACCCUUUUAGGACGCUCACAUGAAAUCCUCCCCUUUUUCCUUCUCCCUCUAUUAUCUGCGGCCCCGGUCACCAUCUGUUACACUACACAUUUAUUUCCUGAUUGUCUCCUCUCACCUCUACAGCCUGCACUGUCCAGUAGGGCUGGGAUGGUUGUUUUGUUUUGUAUUUUUUCCACUGGUUUUUAAUGAAUACCCUGGACAGUGCCUGACACCUGGCACGAAUUCUAUAUGUAUUUUUGGAAUGAAGUUCAUGAAUUACUCAGCAUAAAAAGCAGGAGUGGAGACACUGGUUCCCUGCAGAGGACUUGCAGAAUAGUGAGUUUCUUGACUAUUUUUGAAUUUCACAGACCAGUAACAUUUUCAACAUUUUGGAGAAUGACAGAGGCUCAUAAAUUUCAAUUUGGCUAAUAAGGAUUUUAAAGCAAACAAACAAAGCUAUUAUCUGAUAUUACCAUAAUUUCAUAAAAGAGUUUUAAAAUUGGUGCCAGGAAAUGCCCGUAUUUCUGGAAUUGGGUGGUGUGCUUGUGUGUGUGUGAGGUGCAUGCAUGGUGUAUCUGCUUAAGCAAAGGCAACGUCUUACUUUUGAACACUAUAAUUCCAUUAUUCUGGAUGUUGCUCUGAGGGUGUUUGUAGAUGAGAUUUACCUAUAAAUCCCUGCACUUUGAGUAAAGCAGAUCUCCCUUCCUAAUGUGGGCAGGCCUUAUCCAAGCAGUUGAGGGCCAGAAGAGAACAAAGGCUGGCCUCCCCUGAACUGCCAGUAUUCUGUGGCAGAUGGCACUUGGAUUUGAACCUCAGUCUCCUCUGGGUCUGUGGCUUGCCACCCACGCCACAGGUUUUGGACCUGCUAAGCAUCCAGGAUCUCCUGAUACAAUUCCUUAAUAUCUCUCUCUCCAUCCUUCCCUCUCUGUAGGCAUCUUGUUCGCCUGUUUCUCUGCAGAAGACUGACUAGUGCAUUGGCCUGGGCAGUACUUAGCGGGUCGGGAGUGGGCGGGAAUGGUGUGCGUUUUGAGUGUGGUGGUGUGGGUGUGAUACAGUUGAAGCGGAGGGGAACUUACGAUCCAGCUGCCCGGGAUUCAAGUGUCCACCUCCUGUUUAUUAGCUGGGUGAGCGUGGGCGGCUCACAUAACCAGCCUGGAGGCAGGCUGUGUAAAAUGGCACAGACCUGCCACAUCAGUGGGAAAAGAUGACUGAAUAGAAACACCAUUGUUAGGGUGACUGGGGAAAGGCCUGCCUGAUUUUGUUCUUGAGAAAUCAGGACAGAUGACUGAAGUCAUGAUAUCAUUCUUAUGUCAUGACUAUGUCACAAAUGUGAGCAUUUAUGGUCCGAAACACUGCUUUCACAAAUUUAACCUUAUAUACAAGGGCUUCAUAGACUGAACGCUAAAUUACAUCAUUUGAACUUGCCUGAACUCACAUAACUCUC